GAGAGAGAGAGAGAGAGAGUUUAGCCAGAACCAGAAAUCUCAAUGGAUCUUACACUAGGCGAUCUAGCACCUUCCUUAGGAAUAGUCACAGUGAGAACUCCAUUCACCAUAGCUGCUUUAAUUUGAUCUCUUCUGGCGUUCUCAGGCAACUUGAACUUGCUCAUGAACUUACCAUUCUCUGUGCUUACUUGAAGCGUAUUAUCAUCAUCAAUGAAAACCAACACAUCCUCUCUGUUAAGCCCACGAAAUACAGCUCUAAACACAUGGGCUCUUGGGGUUUCCUGCCAAUCUACAUGGGUUUCAAGGGAUGGGAAAAUUUCCCCAGCCAAGGAUGGGAAAUGGGUGGAAACUAUGGAGGAUUGGAAUGGGAAAGGAAAAUUUAGGAAUGGAUCCCAAAGAUUUAGUGAUGAGAAGAAACCUUCUGGAUCCCACAAGUCCGAAGAGGAGCGAUUGGAGAUAGCACCUGUUUGGUCACUGAUACGAACGAUCGACAUCGGAGAAGAGAGGAAUUGCUGAAAUUGAGAAAGAGAUGAACCGAGCAGAUGAGCAGCCAGGCAGCAAAUAAAGAAAGGAGAGGAAGAAUUAGAGGAAUAAGGAAGACCACUUUUUCUUGCACUUUCUGGAAUGUGCG
rnacentral:misc_RNA from 1 species